UUGAAGCAGAGGACAGUGGCGGACGGGUGAGUAACGCGUGAGGAACCUGCCUUUCAGAGGGGGACAACAGUUGGAAACGACUGCUAAUACCGCAUAAUGUACACGGACCGCAUGAUCUGUGUACCAAAGAUUUAUCGCUGAAAGAUGGCCUCGCGUCUGAUUAGAUAGUUGGUGAGGUAACGGCUCACCAAGUCUGCGAUCAGUAGCCGGACUGAGAGGUUGAACGGCCACAUUGGGACUGAGAUACGGUCCAUACUCC
rnacentral:rRNA from 1 species